GCGUUUCAAAUCAAGUUUUUUUAUUGGGAUACAGACAUUUACCCAAUACAAGCAAAACUAAUUUUUAAAACCAAAAUUAAGAAUACAUCUAUAGAGAAUCUUCUUGAUGUUUCUGUUUAAAAUCAUCAAUAUAUGUAUCGUUCUAAUAGAAUUGUACAAUGUGAUGUGCAUGAAUAAAGGAAAACAAAACAGGAGGAAGAGAAGGUGAUACGUAGAGAGAAAAAGAGGGUGAGAAGUAAGGAUCUGGUGUUGGUGUGUGAACAUAAAGAGAGGUGUGUUUAAC
rnacentral:lncRNA from 1 species